ensembl:lncRNA TEX41 testis expressed 41
GCAGAAGUAACAUUCCUUUGAACACUCAGCUUUCUGAAAUGGUGUCCCACCGCAAGGACUGGAGAAGGACACAAAGCAAAUUCGAGCGAUUUUCUUAUUUGAGUUCAAAAUGGGCUGUAAAGCAGUGGAGACAACUCGCAACAUCAACAAUCCAUUUGGCCCAGGAACUGCUAAUGAAUGUACAGUGGAGUGGUGGUUCAAGAAGUCUGGCAAAGGAGAUGAGAGCCUUGAAGAUGAGGAGUGUAGUGGCUGACCAUUGGAAAUUGACAACAACCAAUUAAGAGCGGUCAUCAAAGCUGAUCCUCUUACAAUGACACAAGAAGUUGCCAAAGAACUCAAUGUUGACCAUUCUUUGGUCAUUCAGCAUUUGAAGCAAAUUGGGAAGGUGAAAAAGCUUGAUGAGUGGGUGCCUCAUGAGCUGAGCGAAAAUUUUUUUAAAAAUCAUUGUUUUGAAGCGUUGUCUUCUCUUAUUCUACGCAACAACAGUGAACCAUUUCUCUAUCAGAUUGUGAUGUGCAAGGAAAAGUGGAUUUUAUAUGACAAUUGGUGAUGCCCAGCUCAGUGGUUGGACAGAGAAGAAACUCCAAAGCACUUCCCAAAACCAAACUUGCACCAAAAAAAGGUCAUGGUCACCAUUUGGUGGUCUGCUGCCGGUGUAAUCGACUACAGCUUUCUGAACCCCAGCAAAUCAUUACGUCUGAAAAGUAUGCUCAGCAAAUUGAUGAGAUGUACUGAAAACUGCAAUGCCUGCAGCCGGCAUUGGUCAACAGAAAGGGCCCAACUCUUUACAACAACUCUCGACCACAUGUCGCACAACCAACACUUCAAAAGUUGAAUGAAUUGGGCUAUGAAGUUUUGACUUAUCUGUCAUUCACCUGACCUCCUGCCAACUGACUACCACAUCUUCAAUCAUCUCGACAGAUUUUUGCAGGGAAAAAGCUUCUACGAUCAUCAGGAUGCAGAAAAUGCUUUCCAAGAGUUCAUCAAAUCCCAAAGCAUGGAUUUUUAUGUUACAGGAAUAAACAAACUUAUUUCUCAUUGGUAAAAAUAUGUUGAUUGUAAUGGUUCCUAUUUUGAUUAAUAAAGAUGUGUUUGAGCCUAAUAAUGAUUUAAAA